UGACAAUCAUCAUGGCAAUCACACUGACCAUCCAUGCUCCAGCUGCCAGUAACUGGCACAAUGUCUCACUCAUGAUGAUCAGGUAUCGCAGGGGGUAACAAAUGGCAAUAUAGCGAUCGAAAGACAUAAUAACCAAGAGAAAGUUCUCAGUGGAACCAAAUAAAAAAAAGAAGUAGAACUGUACCAGACAACCUGUAGAAGAUAUAGUCUUUCUAAGACUAAGAAAAUCCGCAAGCAUUUUUGGGACAGUAACAGAGA